GUAGUUGUAGCUCAGUGGUAGAGUGCUUACCUAGCAUGUGUGAGGCACUGGGUUCGAUCCUCAGCACAACA
rnacentral:tRNA from 1 species